rnacentral:rRNA from 1 species
UGGGGAAUAUUGCACAAUGGGCGCAAGCCUGAUGCAGCCAUGCCGCGUGUAUGAAGAAGGCCUUCGGGUUGUAAAGUACUUUCAGUCGGGAGGAAGGUGGUAAGGUUAAUAACCUUAUCAAUUGACGUUACCGACAGAAGAAGCACCGGCUAACUCCGUGCAAGCAGCCGCGGUAAUAAGGAGGGUGCAAGCGUUAAUCGGAAUUACUGGGCGUAAAGCGCACGCAGGCGGUUGAUUGAGUCAGAUGUGAAAUCCCCGGGCUUAACCCGGGAAUUGCAUCUGAUACUGGUCAGCUAGAGUCUUGUAGAGGGGGGUAGAAUUCCAUGUGUAGCGGUGAAAUGCGUAGAGAUGUCGCGGAAUACCGGUGGCGAAGGCGGCCCCCUGAACAAAGACUAACGCUCAGGUGCGAAAGCGUGGGGCGCAAACAGG